rnacentral:lncRNA from 1 species
AUGUGUGCUUUAAUACUUUUUUUUACAUUUUCAUCUGUAGGGUCAAUGGUCAUACUCAUUUUCGUACUUCUGGAAAGUGGAGUAAUGGUAUAUCAUCACUACAGUGUAUUAGAGCAUGAAAAAGCAUUUGUCCAGACUCUGACAAUGAUGGUAUCCUUCAGAUGGAAUGAAAAUGAAUUAGGAGGUCUCUCAAGAUUUGUUAUGUAUAUGAUUGGAGCAGUUGGCCUGAUAUUCCUGAAUUCAUUUGCAUUAGGAACACAACUGAUCCUGAAUUCACUGGCAGCUUGUAAAAAAAGGAAAGCUCUUAACUGUUGGAAUAAACCUCUGAACAAACACAGAAGUAAUCCGAAAAAUGCUCAGGAUCCACCAGAGAGUCUUGAACUACAAACUUUGCAUGUGUAAUGAGAGAAAUGGGCUAGAAGAUUUACCAAAUGCUCUAUAUUUUAUAUAGACACACCACAUUAAUUUACAGUAAGGAUUCUGACAGACCAGGCUAUCUUUGGUAAUUGUUCAAACAUUUUGUUGUUGUUGUGUGUACAUUAAAUUGUAUAAUUUUAUUUAGAUUUGUCUCAUCAAAAGUUGUCAAAGGUUUUUAUUUUUUUUUUUUUGUGACUAGUUUUUAUAUUAGAAUUAGAAAUUUAUAUUAGAAUGUUUUUUUGUGAUUAAAAAAUGCUGUUUUUGAGAGCAAAACUGCUGUGUAUGGAAAUAUAGUAUUUUUUAUUUUAAAACAGCUUUGAGAUGGCUUUUUACUUGAAAUAAAGUAAUCGAAAACAAAACUUUUCAAAGUGAGUAAAUCUUCAUUUUUCCUUACACUUUUCAUCACACAGCCAGACAUUUCAAUCUUUUUCUUUUUUUAUGUCAAUAGGCAUUUCUCAAUACCAAGCAUGCAAAGUUCAGACUUCGCGUCCUUGGUAGUCCGGACUUGGUAAGUUUAGCUAAGGAGUACAAACUUAUGUCCCGUAAUUCUGCAAAUGGAACAGUAGCAUACCUGAUGACUUCACACACCUCACCACGGCGUGAAUUUGAUUCUCCAUACUGUAUAUUAACAAUAAAACAAAAUAUCAUAUAAUUAACACCACCCCACCUCUUCUCGUUUUCAUUUUAAAAAUCUCAUACAUAUUAAUAGUCCCAACAUGUGGUUCAGCCAACGCGUGCAUACAUAAUUAUAUUCACUGCAUGCAUAUAUAAGAAAACUAAAUAUAAACAGCCAUGUCAUGAACUCAUGUCAUGAGCUCCACCAGCAGGCAGCGUAUGCUCUUCUGUGUCAGCCGUGCUGCACUGAUGCG